CGUCAGAUAGCUCAGUGGUCUAGAGCAGUCGCCCGGCAAGCGAAAGACCCGGGCUCGAUUCCCGGUCUAGCGA
rfam:Harpegnathos saltator strain R22 G/1 HarSal_1.0_1.contig1897, whole genome shotgun sequence.